rnacentral:lncRNA from 1 species
GAGUCCUUCUAGCGGCGCCGGUGAGUCCGCGUGUGGAAGUCUGUGAGGCGCAGAGGUGGGGCAGGCCGUCUGGCUAGCUAGGCGGCUGGGAGCGUUUUCGUGGCGGGGAACGGAGGUUGAAUUGCCCUGCCUGGGCUCAUAGGGAAGGAGGAUGUGAAGGAGCUUGUGAAGGCAGAGGAAGAUUAUUGAAUAAUAAAAUACAGUUUUGAAAAAAAUGGAUGAAGAACCUGAAAGAACUAAGCGAUGGGAAGGAGGCUAUGAAAGAACAUGGGAGAUUCUUAAAGAAGAUGAAUCUGGAUCACUUAAAGCUACAAUAGAAGACAUUCUAUUCAAGGCAAAGAGAAAAAGAUGCGCCACCUUUAUGUGGUAGUAGAUGGAUCAAGAACAAUGGAAGACCAAGAUUUAAAGCCUAAUAGACUGACGUGUACUUUAAAGUUGUUGGAAUACUUUGUAGAGGAAUAUUUUGAUCAAAAUCCUAUUAGUCAGAUUGGAAUAAUUGUAACUAAGAGUAAAAGAGCUGAAAAAUUGACUGAACUUUCAGGAAACCCAAGAAAACAUAUAACGUCUUUGAAGAAAGCUGUGGAUAUGACCUGCCAUGGAGAGCCAUCUCUUUAUAAUUCCCUAAGCAUGGCUAUGCAGACUCUAAAACACAUGCCUGGACAUACAAGUCGAGAAGUACUAAUCAUCUUUAGCAGCCUUACAACUUGCGAUCCAUCUAAUAUUUAUGAUCUAAUCAAGACCCUAAAGGCAGCUAAAAUUAGAGUAUCUGUUACUGGAUUGUCUGCAGAAGUUCGCGUUUGCACUGUACUUGCUCGUGAAACUGGUGGCACGUACCAUGUUAUUUUAGAUGAAAGCCAUUACAAAGAGUUGCUCACACAUCAUGUUAGUCCUCCUCCUGCUAGCUCAAGUUCUGAAUGCUCACUUAUUCGUAUGGGAUUUCCUCAGCACACCAUUGCUUCUUUAUCUGACCAGGAUGCAAAACCCUCUUUCAGCAUGGCGCAUUUGGAUGGCAAUACUGAGCCAGGGCUUACAUUAGGAGGCUAUUUCUGCCCACAGUGUCGGGCAAAGUACUGUGAGCUACCUGUUGAAUGUAAAAUCUGUGGUCUUACUUUGGUGUCUGCUCCCCACUUGGCACGGUCUUACCAUCAUUUGUUUCCUUUGGAUGCUUUUCAAGAAAUUCCCCUAGAAGAAUAUAAUGGAGAAAGAUUUUGUUAUGGAUGUCAGGGGGAAUUGAAAGACCAACAUGUUUAUGUUUGUGCUGUGUGCCAAAAUGUUUUCUGUGUGGACUGUGAUGUUUUUGUUCAUGAUUCUCUACACUGUUGCCCUGGCUGUAUUCAUAAGAUUCCAGCUCCUUCAGGUGUUUGAUUCCAGCAUGUAGUAUACAUUGUAUGUGUUAAAAAGAAAUUUGCAACUGUGAAUAAAAGGACUUCUUUAGAAGAAGCUUCAUUUAAAACAUGAAAGGAUAAUCUGACUUAAGAAACUUUUUGCUAAGAAAAGGUAAUAUUUUAUUAAAUUUUAAAUUUGUGUUGUCACAGAAAUACCUGAAAUUCAGUAGUACUUCAUUCAAUUAAUUUUGUUUUCUAUUAUUUUGAGUUAUACUGUUUUCAAAGUCAUUAUGCAGUAUGUAUAAACUUAUAAGAAUUAAAUUGAUGUGAUAAUUUUAUGUUUUUAUAAUUAAAUAUAGAAUCUUUAUGAUUUAUGUUAAUUCAUUAAUUUAGUGUAAGAAGAAAGUUAAGUCUGAAUGUAAAUUCAGUGUAAGAUGAAAAUUUAUCAAUACUUAUGAAAUUAGGCUGGGCGCUGUGGCUCACACCUGUAAUCCCAACACUUUGGGAGGCUGAGGUGGGCAGAUCACUUGAGGUCAGGAGUUCGAGACCAGCCUGGCCAACAUGGUGAAACCCCGUCACUACUAAAAAUACAAAAAAUAAUUAGCCGGGCAUGGUGGUUCACGCCUGGAGUCCCAGCUACUUGGGAGGCUGAGGCAGGAGAAUCGCUUGAACCCAGGAGGCGGAGGUUGCAGGGAGCCGAGAUUGUGCCACUGCACUCCACCCUAGAGUGAGACUCCCUCUCAAAAAAAAAAAAAGUUAUGAAAUUAAUACAUAUGAAAUGAUGUACUGCUACAUCCACCAGAGAGGUCUUUUUAGGUUUAACCAAACAUCUGGAAUAUGUUUAUCAAGUUAGUACAUCUGAAAUUAUUUGUGGCUAUGACCAACAGAAGUCACUUUACAUUAAACAUUCAAACUCACAAGACUGCCAUGGCCAUACUUGGUACCCGCUUACUCAGAAGGAUAUUAAACAGAAACAACAGCCUGCCAGCACAGCAUCAAGCAGUCCUCAUUAGCAGUGGAAGUCCUUGUAGCAGUCCACUAGUACAAUUUGGGUGCAAGGAGAUAAGAUCCUCCACAGGCAUCAAGGAACCAAUAUCUCUUAACAAUUCCAUAAACACAGCUUCCAGGUAUCCACAAGGGAUGUGUCAAUUUCAAGAGUCACUACACUCAGGAAAGCCUAAAGCUUGAAGACUCCAUUUAUUUAUAGUGCAUCCCAAUCCAGAUACGUAACAAUUAACGAGUUAUUUUUACUAUAAGCAAAGUUGCCUAAAAUCAUAGUUGAUACUAACCAUGGUUAACAGAGCUCUAAAGUUUGACAGAAAGUGAGAUUCAAAUCCUUUCACUCUCAUAUGCUAAACCUUUUGCCUUACUCUGGGUCAUCAGAGAAAUUUAGGUGAGAAUGUAUGAUGAAGUCUGUGUUUUAGAUUCAAUGCAGAUAUAUCAUUGUGGGCAGAACUCUUUCUGGUUAUAUCCAGUUAAGAGUAAAUCAGGCUUUCAGCCGGGCGCGGUGGCUCACGCCUGUAAUCCUAGCACUUUGGGAGGCCGAGGCGGGCAGAUCACGAGGUCAGGAGAUCGAGACCAUCCUGGCUAACACGGUGAAACCCCGUCUCUACUAAACAUACAAAAAAUUAGCUGGGCCUGGUGGCGGGCGCCUGUAGUCCCAGCUAUUCGGAAGGCUGGGGCAGGAGAAUGGUGUGAACCCAGGAGGCGGAGCUUGCAGUGAACCGAGAUCGCUCCACUGCACUCCAGCCUGGGCGACAGAGCUAGACUCUGUCUCAAGAAAAAAAAAAAAAAAAAAGAGUAAAUCAGGCUUUCAUAGCAAAGGUAUGUCUAUUUUAUGUAUAUAAACUUCAGGUACUCUAACUUGAGUUUCACUAUGAAAUUUGUGAUUUUUUUUUUUUUUUUUUGAGAUGGAGUCUUGCUCCAUCGCCCAGGCUGGAGUGCAGUGGCCUGCUGUUGGCUCACUGCAACCUCCGCCUCCCAGGCUCAAGCCAUUCUCCUGUCUCAGCCUCCUGAGUAGCUGGGACUACAGGCGCCUGCCACCACGCCUGGCUAAUUUUUGCAUUUUUGGUAGAGACGGGGUUUCACCUUGUUGAUCAGGCUGAUCUCCAACUCCUGACCUCAGGUCAUCCACCCACCUCCGCCACCGUGCCCGGCCGAAAUUUGUGAUUUUAUAACUAAGAAUUUUUAGUUAAGAACAUUAUCAGUAAAGACAACGUAAUCCCACCCUGGAGAGUUUAUUGGGAGCCCAGGAAUAUUCAUUUUUAAUACACACACACACACACACACACACACACACUGAUCAGAGUAACGGGAGUUUCUCUCAGGAGUCAUACUCCAUGAGCCUGGACCCAGUGGUUCUUUAUGUGGAAACAAAUUUCACCUAUAGGUAACCUGGUAACUGCUAUUUUCUUCUGUGUGCUCUGUCAACAAAGGUAUCAGUGGCUUGCAGGAGAUGCCUUUAAUACUCAGAGCAUUCUAUCUCCCCCUAUCUGGUUUAGAAGGAAGGCCUUCAUUAGUUACCUUUUGAGAAGUUACUAGAACUCUCUAUUAGAGACUUACCCUCCUGACCUGAUAAAAAGGGAUACCCAUGUCUCUAUUAACAGCUUUAUCUCUUUCUACAGUUUUGGGUAUUUGAUAAGGUUAAGGCAAAAUUUUAGUUAUGCUUAAGGAGGAGUUCUUUUUUCACAAUUACAGAGAAAAUUUUGGUUUGUUGAAGAUUGCAGAAACAGCAAUGGUAAUGUAAGACAGUUUUGGCCUUUAAUUUUUUUCUUGAAACUCUACAGUAUACUACAAUAGUGAAGGAAACUAUUAUCAUGAGAGAUCCUUCUGAAUAGGAUGUCUUUCUGAGUUCCACUAUUCAGUUACAAAACUCCUUAAUGCUUAAAAUUCAUUAUGAAAAUUAGAUUUAUUUUAAAUACUUUCAAGUGUAUACAUUUUUAUUUCAUAAUUUUUAUUGUCUUUUAACUAAAGCAUUUAGUUCAUUUAUAUUUACUGUGUACCUUUUAUAUUUAAUAAAUAUAUUUACUUAUUAAAAGAUUACCACUGA